UACGAAGGGGGCUAGCGUUGUUCGGAAUUACUGGGCGUAAAGCGCACGUAGGCGGGUUGUUAAGUCAGGGGUGAAAUCCUGGAGCUCAACUCCAGAACUGCCUUUGAUACUGGCAACCUAGAGACUGGAAGAGGUUAGUGGAAUUCCCAGUGUAGAGGUGAAAUUCGUAGAUAUUGGGAAGAACACCAGUGGCGAAGGCGGCUAACUGGUCCAGCAC
rnacentral:rRNA from 1 species